GAUGAACGCUAGCGGGAGGCCUAACACAUGCAAGCCGAGCGGUAUUGUUUCUUCGGAAAUGAGAGAGCGGCGUACGGGUGCGGAACACGUGUGCAACCUGCCUUUAUCUGGGGGAUAGCCUUUCGAAAGGAAGAUUAAUACUCCAUAAUAUAUUGAACGGCAUCGUUUGAUAUUGAAAGCUCCGGCGGAUAGAGAUGGGCACGCGCAAGAUUAGCUAGUUGGUGAGGUAACGGCUCACCAAGGCAAUGAUCUUUAGGGGGCCUGAGAGGGUGCUCCCCACACUGGUACUGAGACACGGACCAGGCUCCUACUGGAGGCAGCAGUGAGGAAUAUUGGUCAAUGGGUGCAAGCCUGAACCAGCCAUCCCGCGUGAAGGACGACUGCCCUAUGGGUUGUAAACUUCUUUUGUAUAGGGAUAAACCUACCCUCGUGAGGGUAGCUGAAGGUACUAUACGAAUAAGCACCGGCUAACUCCGUGCCAGCCGCCGCGGUAACAC
rnacentral:rRNA from 1 species